CACAGUCUUCCUACAGAGUUGUACAAACCUGUACAUAUUUUAUAAUAAUUUAAUUUGGUUUCUCAAAUAAUCCUGUUGGGAUUCUAAGUGAGUUCCUAUUCAUUCUUGCAUCUCUGGUGCCUUAUACAGGGCCUGGAUCACGUUAAGCUUUCAAAAAGCAUCUGUAGAAUGGAAAUAAAGCUCCGGUCCCGGUGCCUAAGCUCUCCCUAUUACACCGCCCGGUCUGAUGUGUGCUCAGAUUGCGGAGUCGGCUGGUAGCAGACCCAGAAGAACUCAGGGUCCCCCUUUGUCCUCUCCAAAUAGGCUGAGACACAAGACCAGAGGAAGAAAUCCUGAGUGCUCCCUGGACAUGCCGUGGUGUGGUCCUCUGGUUUGUUUCCUGUUUUGGCAUCUGAGCAGAGACGGGAAGGGCCACUUGAGUGCCGAUGAUCGGGCCUCUCCCCUGACUGUGGUGCUUCCCGCACUGAAACAGAGGAACAUGCUCCAAGUGGAUUGGCUUCACAGAGGUGGCUGCCCACAGCUCAGAAGAGAUGCUUCCCCACAGUCUUCAUUUUGCCCAACGGGCUCCAUGGAAAGUAGAUAUCAUUUCUAUUUCAGGUUUUCCUCAUCACCUCUAGACAUUGCCAACAGCAAGAGUUCUAAGUGGGUUGAGCAAGAGAUCUCACACCAUUGCUUCUAGGCAGAAGCUGAAGGAAUGACAGUAGCAUCCCUUUCAACAGUGGGAGGUGUUGGAGGGACUUUCCUGGCUGAGGAAACCACACUCCAUCUACUUACACACCUGAAGGGACUAUGGUGCUGAGCCUCUUCCUCCUCUGUCCCUUGGUCCAUGUGGAUCCCCUGCUUGGAUGCCUUCUGCCUAUUUCUGAAGCUUUCCCCUUCUUCAGAGCACCCCUGGAGUCUCACCUCCUCUAUAAACUUGCCCUGAAACAACAGCCAACAGUGACGCCUUUCA
rnacentral:lncRNA from 1 species